rnacentral:tRNA from 1 species
GCCCCUGUAGCUUAACAUUAAAGCAUUG